AGCAAACAGGAUUAGAUACCUGGUAGUCCACGCUGUAAACGAUGUCGAUUUGGAGUUUGUUGCCUAGAGUGAUGGGCUCCGAAGCUAACGCGAUAAAUCGACCGCCUGGGGAGUACGGCCGCAAGGUUAAAACUCAAAUGAAUUGACGGGGGCCCGCACAAGCGGUGGAGCAUGUGGUUUAAUUCGAUGCAACGCGAAGAACCUUACCUGGUCUUGACAUCCAUAGAAUUCUGCAGAGAUGUGGGAGUGCCUUCGGGAACUAUGAGACAGGUGCUGCAUGGCUGUCGUCAGCUCGUGUUGUGAAAUGUUGGGUUAAGUCCCGCAACGAGCGCAACCCUUAUUCUUUGUUGCCAGCGAUUUGGUCGGGAACUCAAAGGAGACUGCCGUUGAUAAAGCGGAGGAAGGUGGGGACGACGUCAAGUCAUCAUGGCCCUUACGACCAGGGCUACACACGUGCUACAAUGGCGUAUACAAAGGGAAGCGAAGGUGCGAGCUGGAACGGAUCUCAUAAAGUACGUCUAAGUUCGGAUUGGAGUCUGCAACUCGACUCCAUGAAGUCGGAAUCGCUAGUAAUCGUAGAUCAGAAUGCUACGGUGAAUACGUUCCCGGGCCUUGUACACACCGCCCGUCACACCAUGGGAGUGGGUUGCACCAGAAGUAGAUAGCUUAACCGCGAGGGGGGCGUUUACCACGGUGUGAUUCAUGACUGGGGUGAAGUCGUAACAAGGUAACCA
rnacentral:rRNA from 1 species